CACACACACAGGCAAAAAAAAAAACCCGCCAGCAUCACAUUUCCAGUAGAAAGUCAUUUAUUUCUGGCUUUGUUUUUGAUGCAUUGUCGUCGAAAAUGUCACCAGCUGUUGCUGACAAAUUGCUAUCAAGUUAAAAAAGAAAAGCAGAAUGGGAAGCCUAUGACAAUAUUCCUCCUGUGGCAAUACUUGUCCAUCAAUCACUCCUUGGUACAGGCUGCAGCGACAGCAGGAAGGAGGAAAUGUCCUCUUCAAUAAUGCAGCAGAAAUUCCGGUUUAUCCCGGCCUGCAACAUUGAAAAUUUGUCACACUCUUAAAAACCAAACCAUCAAAUGGUUUCACCAAAAGGCUCGAUGCAGCAGGGGGGGUGGGGGGGGUUAAAUUACUGCAGUGUCUGCAAAAAAUAAAGAAUGUAGCAAAAGGUGAGAAAACAUUUUAGCAAGAUAUUGACAAGCCGUCACACAGCGGACUCACAUUGCUAAAGGUCAGCAGUAACCGACUUUGGCCAGUACAGUAAAUUAACUGACCAUGUCCAUUUUAACCGUAAUAAAUGUCUUUAAUAAAGGCUAAAAAAAUCAUGAUUCCAUUUGACGUAUUUAUUGUUGCCCUCUUUUUUCACAAGGGUGCUACCAUAUGAAUGAUCAGCAUAGACUCACUAAGGUGGCUGAAUUUUAUUUUUAAAACAGAUGUUUUAACAUUUAAAUGCCUGUUGCCCAGAUUGUGGCUGUAACAACAACAGAUUGUCGAAUAUGCACCCAGAACUAAAAGAUGCAUUAUUCCAGGUGUGAUGAAGAUCCGUCAUUUUGCUGUUAUUCAAAACUUACUAAAACAAAAGCACCCCAACGGUCUCCACAACCUGCUGGUGGGAUUCUGUCCUGACUGUGACAGACCAACAGGCUUUGCAGAUGGUCCCGGCAAUCAUUACGAUCUUUUCAUACCAUGUCAGAACCCGUCUCUCCAUCUCUACAAACGUUUCAGGGCCAGCUGGUCUCCAGCUCGGGAACAUUGAUCCGUUUUACCUCGUGUUCUCCCGAAGCCGCUUGACUAAUCGACCGCGGUAGACAGCUCCCCAACCGUAGGGUGGCAUCAGUUGUUCUGACCACAGGAAGUGUAAUUGGAUCUACUUGGACGCGUGUUGAGGGUUGGAGGGGAUUCAGCUCAGAGGAAAGUGUCUUUAGAUAAUGUGAUGUGCCACCUGAGAGCUUACCUCUUAGAACACCUCCUAACAUUUAAUAAUGACAACUUUGGGCUUAUUGUAGAAAAAAGUCCACCUGGAAAUUUCCCUGUCUCAUGGAAGUUAAACCAAAAAAUAUAGUUGCACAAACAAACAUACACACAUUGAAAAUGCUGCUUGCGUCCGUAACCAUCUCUGAAUGUAUAAAUAUAGAUAAAUUCCAUCAAUAUUUGAAAAUAUUGUAAAAGACAACUAAAAGUAACCAUAGCAGAGAAAUAUAUCUAGAGUUGCCAAGCAACAUAAAGUCUAGGAAAACACCAUCAUACCUACCAGUUAAUUUGAAUUUUACAUUGGUGUCGGGCCUCCCUCCCACACAUAAGGAAAUAUGGAGAGCUUUUGUUACUUUUCUAUUCACCUUUUUCUUUGGGAAAAAAGGUAUUUACGUUUGGUCCCUUUUACCCUUGGUUGGUGCCAUUAAGCUUUUCCACCGAGACAUUAGUUUGAGAGUAGGGAGCAGGAAGGCCUCUGACGUUGCCAGGUUAUCCACACAAGUCUGGGUUGAUCUAGAAUGUUCAUAAUUAUAAGAGGAUAAUUGAUUGUAGAUACCAUGCUCAAGCAAUGUUAGAAAUCUGAGGGAAAACCAGUCACUGGUUCCAAAAACAAAGACAAAGGGGCUUUCUACAGUCUACUUCAACAGUAUUUACAGUAACCAAUGUUUCCCUGUUAAGAGCUCUCAGAGGUAUAAAUCAUGCAACGAGGGAAGGCAGAGUCUACUUUAUUCAUCUACGGUUCCGAUGCUCCACACAAACCCUGAGCAUUUAAAUCUCACCUAGCGCAGCUUCCCAGAUAUUGUGUAUGUAAAUUCCAAACCCCACUCUUCAUUUUCCUGCUGUCUGAAUCCAGGCAGGGGCCCUUAUUAAUGAUUCCCUCGCCAUUAAAAGGCAAUUCAAACCUGAAGGUUAAGAACAGCCAGCGGCAUAAGCAGCCUCAUUUCACUUUGCAUCAUUUAACUCUGCGCUCCCUGGCAGAGAAGCUGGACCACCACGUACUCGUGUGCGAUGGCAGACACUGGAGAUAACCCUGGGAGAAUGGUGCACUUUCUCCAAGUGCAGUCUGGAACGGUUCGUUUCAACUGGGACGUGAGCUAAUGCAAAGCUACGAGCUGUAUACUGUAAUUCAAAACACACCUCAUCGGACCAGACCGCAUGUGUUCUUUUUUUGAUUUGGAUUUUAAAGGCAGGAAAAAAAUGUGUAACAGUGUGAAAUCCUGGUAUAUCCUGGAAUUUUAUAUUCUUUGUGGAAAGGUCGAAAAAGGAGACAAGCUACACAAUGAACGGGGUCGAGGUACUCACAGAUAAUAAUGAAAAUACAAAAAUCAAACCUGGGUGAGCCAGACAAGGAAAAUGCCUGGCCGUGGCCUAAGCCCCUCUGACAAUAAGGCGAUAGGCAGCGUGUGACCGUGUGGGGAUUGUCAAUAUUACAUUGUGUCGACUACCAAGAAAUAUUUGGAUUUUCACACUGUAUAAAUUGUCCAUAAUAAAAUAAGGUUGUAUUCACUUAGAUUGAAGAUCCUAAAAAGUUGAAAAUGGAGGGGAAAAAAAUUGUCAAAGAUAACCUCAAAAAAAAUCAUUCAGAUUGUUUGAAUAUUUCUUUUUCAGAGCUCCGCCUUCGAAGCCAGCGAUGAAGACCCGGAAUCUGCUUGAGACCUUCUCCAUUAGAGUGACGUACUGCAUGAGGAAGACUCACCUGUCCCCCCCCGGACUGCACCGGCUGACUUCAUAAAGCUGAGAUUUCACAUUUCACAUUUUCUCAUAAAUAUUACAAUUGCCUCUUUGGCUACUUAGCCGGUUGCAUCAUGCAACGGAUGUUUAGUAUUUAUUUUUUUACAGGUUGAUUGAAAGGAUUACAUUUCGACUUUACUGAAGUAAAGUGUGCGCUCAGUGUUAGUCAGUCCCAAUGUUGUGUUGGAAAAUAUUGAAGAUAUAGUUUAAAAUAUAUCAAAGUGUCCCUCCACAGCCGCCAGGCGAUCAGCUGAGUAACGUUGUCUGUUACCACUGCAUUGUAAGAAAUAUUAUGUUAUACAUGAGUUUGGAGAGGCCAACUUCUCAUGCUUUAAUUAACAAGAUGGUGAUUCUUAAUCUGACUAAAACAAUCUCUCAUUCAACUGUUUGAAUUUCCAAUAAACAGCCGAUACACACAGGUUUUUGGGACAAUCUUCUGGCUCGUUUAGCUGUCUGUUAGCUGGAUACAUUAGUAGGCAAUCAAAACACCUCCCUUUCUCAAUCAAAGACGGGCUACACACAGCGGGGGGGGGGCUCUCUAAAACUUGAGGGGGCAGUUUUGGCUCAUCAAAUAAUUUCCCCUUUUGGGAAAGAGUGCAGAUGCUGCAGAGAUAACAGUACACACCAGUGUUACAUUACUAUUAACGCUAAUGAAUGGACUCAAGCAACUUCAUUAGGAUGACUCAGUGAGCCGGGCUCGGUCCCAUUUUAAACAGUAACUGAAUCAUUUAGCGUCAGAGCAGCAUGAACAUAAGCAAACCGCAAAUAAAUGACAAAUGGCAGCAACGCUGAUUUCACAUUAUGGCAAUUCAUACCAGAUUGAGCGUCUCACUCCAGUCAAAUGAGAUUAAAGGAGUGUUUACUGUUGAUAGCAACAGGUGUUGGUAGCAGCCAUAGAAAGAUGUAUAAUACUUUUGCAUGUAAAUGGCUACAUGUAAUAAUAAAAACUAUUUUGCUGAAAAUAGAAAAGAUGAAGACGUUGAUGUUAGUAUUCCUCUCCUCACAGGCUGCGUCAUGCAUUUGUACGCUUCUUUUUUUCACAGUUGUAAUUACUUUAAUAUUUGUCAGCAGUAGAGACGUCAAUCACUGUUGUGAGUCAAGGUUUCGUCUCUCAGCUCUGUCCUUGUGCAGUAUCCUCAGCCUCAUACAUCACACAUUUAAUAUAAUACAUUUGACAUUUCAACUUGAAUCUAUUUCCCAGUUAAAUUCUGGCCUCUUGUCAGGGGUAAUUCCAUCAAGCAUUCAUAAGGACCAAAGGUAAGAGAUAUUUCCGAGACAAUUUCACAGCAGUGUGAAGAAGGUGAUGUGCAGAAGAAAACACGAGAUAUUUUCAGGAAAGAUUUCCGCUACAGCUGUUUUGCUUAAGGGCAUUUGCUGCCUCAUGGAAAAGCCGGAAGAUGUAUCUUUGAGUGGCAUUGGACAGAUUGCAGGCUUUCUCAAGGUGAAGUGAAGAGCUUUAAUAUUUAUUCUAUACCUGCGUCAGCUGACUUUCAUUUCACAAGCUGUAUGUUAUUACUCCAUGAAAGUCAAGACAAUUGGAUUAUUCGCAAUCCCCCCAAUGAGGGGGAGAUAAAGUAGACGGCCUCAUCUUUUGCUACACCAGUGCAGCCCUUUGUAAGUAAAAUGAAUACUGCGGUAAACACAGACACGGCUUACACCCACAUUGCAGUUACUGUUCGAGUGACCUUAUGGAGAAACAUUCGUAUAGUGAUUCAAAUUUGGCAGAAGUGAAAUGAGGGUAAAGAUGAAAUCUCUGAUCAACCUGUGAGUGGUGAAUUUUAGGUCUGCCAAUUGCAGCAUUUUGUCAAAUGAUUAUUGGGUCAUUUCAACAGUAGAUUGUACAGUUUUAUUGUGCAUGUACAAGCUCCCAGACAGCUGCAAAUACCCCGUCCCAGCUGCAGCGUCAACAUAUAAAUCAACGUUUAAUGAAAUCCUCUGCUAAAAUGUGAAAGUUUUUGCCUGAACAUACAAACUCAAAGAGAAUCAUCCCACAAUUGUGUUGUUCUCCGGAAUGGAGCGUUUCGUCUCUUAGUCAAGCCAACCUUACCAAACAAAACGCUUGGUUUGGUUUUUCCCUGUAGGCAGCUUAUUUUAAACCUAUAUUUACGUCUUGGAUAAACCGACUAUGAAGUAACAAGUCUUUCUUUGCGUGGAUCGGUGGGUCAAUGUUGAAAAUAAGUAGCACAACGAGUUGUUUUUGCUGUAAGCAUAACGCAAUCACUAUGUAUCUAGCAGCUUCCAUGUUAGAUAGAUAACAUAGAAGCACUGAUCUUAUAAUGAUAGAGCGACUAAACAUAUUGAUACAGUGAGUUCAUAUCAGAUAAAUAUGAAAUAGGAGAAAAUAACACUGGAUGUUAAGUGAUGUCCGUUAAGCAGAAGGGGACGUUUGGCCCAUUGAGCACAUCAGUCCGACUCCUGGUUGGCAGCGCUUCAAAUGAGGACCUGUAAUGAUCCAGAUAUACUUAAUUAUGAUCGAACCCAAAGAGACAGAGCUGGGUGUUGGAAAAGGGGAUCAGUUACUGUGAUCCGAAGCAGGGCCAUUUCCUUUGUCUGGCAGAAGACGGAGCUUAAAGAGGAAGAAAAUAAAACCCAGUCUUUCUAAUCUUCAGUCAAAAUGUGUUGUUAACACGAGCUCAGGUUAAAUCAAUACAGCUAAUACGAGCGGGAGUGAAGUGAUUGCCACCACUGACGGACCUUUGGAGUCAUAUUGAUUUCAAGUAGCGUUGUUGUUGUAUUUCAUCUCUACUGAUUUUAGAACCCUCAUCUGUUGGAAAGUAAUUGAAUUCUUCAAUCUUGACAGAAUUACUGCAUUUAAAACAACAGUCGGUCUGCGCGUCACGCACACUGUGUUAGAGUCGAGCUCCAAAGCUGUCGUCGGGCCAAUGACAUUUCAAUGAAUGGUUACUGAUAUUCAUUUACUUUUAGGACUAGUUUGUGUCAUUGACUUAAUCUGGCAGAUAUGAAUUAAAAAACCCUGUUUGCUGAUUUCAAAAGGAGCCGAUUCACAGUGCAGCACAUGAAGCCCGGCUGCUAGCAGCAGACGCGUGUCUCCUUGUCUCCUUGUCUCCUUGGCGGUUCAUCUGCGAUCCCUUUGUCCAUUACCUUCCGUUUUCACCGUUCACUGUUUUACUUUGUCAGUCACCGAGUUUCUCUCUGGUUUCAGGUGCCUUGUCUUCCCUGCCUGUCUCCAAAGUGUGCUGAUUGCAGCUGAUCUUCCCAUUUGUGUCCACGUGUGUCUCGCUGACUCGCCGUCCCCUUGUGUACUCAGUGGCAUGCUCUGUGUUUGUGCCCAAUUUGUCUUGUACCGUCUGCCAAGCGUCGCAGCACUUUUGUAUCUUGUCCUGUUAUUUAUUAAUCAAGUCUAGGCCCCUUUUAUGUUUGGGGAUUUUGUCUCCGCCCGACAAUUGUUGUCCUUCUUCCACUUUUGUCAUACGUGAACCUUGCGUGUCUCCGACUAUAACAAAACCCAUCUGAACUUUGACAUCUGUUUGCAAGUCGUGUGCUUGACCCCUCCGGUUGCUAUCUCGACAAGUGACUUUCUACAACCAGGCAACCUCACUUUAUUAUCAUAAAGUCCUCCAAACUAUGUGAGUGUGUCAAUAUAAAUCUGUGUUGUGUAGUGUUUUUAGUACAUCUGUCUCACCUGAGCUAGCAAACAUUACAGCUCAGCUUAGCAGGGCACCGUUAGCAUCUAAAAGAAAACCUCCUUUGGGUGGAUGCACACUUUGUUCUGUCCCGGGUGUAGUUUGGCAGAAAGAAACCAGUUCCUACAUAAAAGGGCUCACGACGUUUGAAUAAUCCUCAGUGGCCAUGUCAUGGUUUCCUCAGAGAGGUAUUAUGUUGAGGUGAAGGGAGACGUCGUUACAGCUGAUAGCUCAAACCCUCGGCCGCCACACAAGCUCUCUCUAUCUAUGACUUUAAUAAUCUCAUAUGUGGCACCUUCAAGCUAUUUAUUCAGUUACAGGUGUCGUGAAAGCCCAAGGAAGGAAGGUAGAUGCAUUUUUAUCAAAGAAAGCUUCCUUUAAAAAGGGCCAAAGUAGUAAUGAUAACUGUGUACUCAAGACACUUCAUAUCACAAAGUGGAAAACUCUUCUUUGUAAUCUAAUGAGUUUUUAGGAAAAAUCCCUCAAAGGAGCAGCAGGACAUACAUUGUCAUACAUGACAUUACACACAAAUGUUACUGAAAAUCAACUGCUGGUAGCCCAUUGGUGUUAAAGGCAUCGAUCUGUCAGUUAUCCUCCUGUCUUUUUCUCCGCAUCACAUUUCAAAAAUACAACCAGAUUGCCUAUAAAUCACAAGACAUAAUGGGGGAAAAAAACCUAAAGAAAAGAAAGCUGACAUAAAUGAUGGAUUUUCAAAGUUGUAGCUAUACAGUAAAACCAAAUUCCACUCACCUCCAUUUACAAUAGAUGAGUCACUGAAGGCCGUGGGGUACAGAACACUCCAGAGUCCGUCCUGCAGCUCUUCAGCCGUUUCUUUUGUGUGACCCGCGUCACACACAAAGAUUCUCAUGACCGGAGAAAAACAUACCUUUUUGCGCAGCACAAUUUAGUUUAACACAGAUGAGCGAUUCUACUCACAAUGAACCCAGUUUGGAAGAGCGCAGCAUGUCCAGCACACACAUACAGUGGUUCCUCAUUAGCAACCUCAGGCUGUGACCAUGAAGCAGUGGUUCUCAAACCUUUUUCUGUCGGGCCCCACUUUGGAGGAAGAAAAAUGUUGUUGUUUUUCUUCUUGUUAAGCAUAUUUUCAUUGGCAUUUAAGUAUAUGACUUAUCUUCUUUUAACUGAUAACUUGAAGAGCCAAGUUCAAUUAACACAGACACAUCUCAAUGAAGUCAACACAAAUCAUUACUGUAAAUUUAAGUUUUAAGAUCAAAUCUAAAACGUGUCAGAGCUCUUUGAGUUUAAGAGGAAAGUAAGUGGACAUUACUAAACAGGGCUGUGAUGUUUUAAAGUAAAAAGCUGUGGAGACACACUAGUUCAAUACUUUUACAAAGUCUUCAAAGGACUGAAGAGAGCUUGGAACAUUAAAGGAUUGAUAGAAAUAAUUAAGAGGGCAAUACCUGUUUCAAAAACUGUGUGUGGCUUCACCCCAGAGAUUGUAAUCGAGCUGCUCGUUGUUUAUAUCUUGUAUCACUGAGCUGCAAAGGGCAUUUUUCUUCCUCAGAGGAAAAGAGAAAAAACCUCCCAACGUAAUUGAGAACAAAGUUAAUAUCGGGAACGUUGUUUUGUGGGAGCUCGGAACGUUUGACGGGUUCUCUUUACUGAGUUCAUCAUCUUGAAAGACAAUGGUAGCAUUUCCUCCAUCAUCACGAAAGGUCAAAGGUCACAUUUAGCCUGAGCACACAUACAGUAUAUCCCCAAAUGUAGGGUUUUUAUACACUUAUACUGUCAUCUACUGGUAGAAAAGAGUUAGCACUUUUAGUCUGGAUCCCUUUAUUGUCUGUCUUUUUUGUAUCGAAAAAACAAACAGAAGAACGGAUCCGUUUAUCCAUUUUUGUUGUAUAAUUUAAAAAACAUGAACCAAACUCCUUUUAUUUUCUUUAAAAGAGUAAAUUACGUAAAAUGCAACAGUCUUGGAAGACUAGAACCUUCCUUUACCAUUUGUAGGCAGAUCACUGUUUACCGAGGAGAAUUUAGCAACAAGAUAGAUAAUGCACUAGAUAAUGGGGGGUCUGCAAAGAAUUCUUGUUGGCCUGCGUUAAUUGGGCGGCCAAGUUUAUGCUCAAUGACCAAAUGUGUACCCAAGUCCGGGGGUCACUGAGCUGCAUGUCUGCUUUAUCCCCCUAGACAGAAACUAAGGAUAAGUGGCGUGUAUGCACUCAGCAAAACGCACGUGACUGCGGCUGAAGACUCAGUUAAACUCCCCGGACAUGAGAAAAUUACCACUGUCAUCUCGUGUGAGAAUCAUCAACCUGCACAAGUUAAAACCCAAAUAGUGAGAGGAUUUCAGUACUAUGGACAGGGAGCUGGAACACUGUUAAGAUAGUGCCUCAGUGGGAAAGCAGGAUUGUCCCUUAAUCCCCGGCUACAAGAGUCCAUGCCGGUGUGUCUGCGGCAUGAUGUUAAUCCAGAAUCGCUCCUCCUGUGGUGGAGGAAAGGGUCCGAAUGAUUAGAUUGCCGUGUUAGGAAGUGUCACUUUGCAUGGCAGCUCAUGCCAUUAUUUAUGAAUAGGGAUUAAUGGGGUAAAGAUGACAUGUAGUGUUGAUGCACCAUGAGCACUCUCUCCCAGCACACCUUCUGCGCAAUGGACCUUUGACUUUUAAGACCACCAUGCUGAUGUUGUGUAGAGACACUGCAUUAAAAUGGGAAGGAGAAUGGUGUUUAGAGAUCAAAGCUGAAACUACAAUGCACUGAAGUGCUUGGCAUAUAACAUCCUUACGGUAUUCUGUAAUGCAUUCUGUAAUAUUAGGGUUUAAAAACACAUUCUAAUCUGAACAUUACAAUAUGCAAAGAAACCCCACGACACUCAGGAUACACCUGGAAGCGUUGACUUCGUAGUCCUUAUAAAGAAAUUAUUCAAAAGACCAUAAUCAAAGUCAUGACUCAGUCCGAACGGACCAGCGUUGCUGCACUGGGUGAAUAACUAACAACACGUCCACCCAGCUAGAAUACAUCCCAAUUUAGCAUUGUGAGAGGCCUGCUGGGGAGCAUCACAGCCACGAGCAAAGUGAGAUGCUGCUGCUGCUGCAUGGCUCAUCUUCAGUGCAAUGGUAGACACAUCCAAGGGACGAGGGCACGGCUAUGCAGACUCAUGGCCUUGUGUACAGCAAUGAUAAGAUAAUGCUGAUAUGGCUUCUAAACAUUGAUCAGAACGCUUAAAUGAAACAAUUAAUGGAAUUAAUGUUGCAUGGGAUCGCUCCAAAAUGUUUUUUUCUAAUGCACCAUACCCAUCAGAAAACUUCCACAUGUAAUCAACAUCAACAUCAGAAGUUUUGAGGAGAAAGUUAUGAAAAUGCCCCUUCUGGCAUCUGCCAAUUGAAGCCUUUGAUUUUUGAUUUACUGGUUCUGCAAAAAGCUCAAACUGUCUCAUUUUGCUCCAAAGGGGAAGCAUCCCGUGCUUCCUCCUGCUCAGACAGCUUAUUCAGAAAGGCCAUGCCCUCCCCCGUCUUGCACCUUUUAGCAGGUGGGACAUGGACAUCAGACCUGUAAUCCUAUAAUAGCCUUUUACUGAUACAACAUAGUACCAUUUGAGGAAGGAAACACAUUGAAACACAUUCAAUACUGUUUGAAGGAGUCUUGAAAUUGCAGAUAUAACUUAGUAUACCAAACAUACCUUUAUCCAGAAAGAGAUAAAACAUUAUCAAUAGCUAAACACAGUGUCACCAGACCACCAGGAGAAAGACCCACAGACCCCGAUGUGGCAGCGAUGGAGCAGCCGGAUCUCCGUCCCGAGGAGCAGGACCAACUGAAUGAAUUGAUUUCGUUCCCUUUUUUGUCUACUAGUUGAGUGACCGCUCUUGGAAAGGAUCUGACCAUCUUUGACCAUCAAAGAUUCUGGGUAAACCCUCCGUCAUCUCUUCAAAGGUCAACUCUCCCCUUUCAAUCAGAUCC
ensembl:lncRNA